UCCCCCAUUCGUGGAGGAACAACACUAGACCCUGCGCUGUUCUUUUGUCUGCUCAGCCCUUCCCGGGUUUGCUGCUGGUCCUUCCCGGGUUGGCUGCCGACCCCUCCACCUCCGUGGAGGGGCAGCUCCCCCUGCCACUUUCCCCACUUCCGCGGGGGAGCGGCACACCGCCGGCCGGCUCUCUCGGGGGCUGCUCAGAUGUUAUCCGGAUGUUCCUGGUGCAUGUUGUCUCCUCCUUUAUAGUCCUCUUCCACCAAUCCCAACUCUGCUACCCACACGCCGAGCACGCUGCUCUCCUCCAAUCAGGAGCAGGAUCAGCUCCUGCAGCUUGUCAAACUGAUGAGGCAGCUGCGUAGAGGUUGUUUGGUCUCUUUCUCCCAGCGCCAUAUUGUGGGAGAGCAGAUGCAUAGAAUAAGUCUUAAUUCCAGUAACUUAGUCUAGUCUCAGUUGCUCCCCACAGAAAACAAAGCGUUGUGAAAGAUACAAGCAUGAAAUGAGGCUUUCCCCGGCUUGGAGGGCCUGGUCUUUGCCCAGAAGAGAAUGCAGAUGCGAGACACAGCAGUGGUCAGCAAGGCAGCAAAGCUGAGAGGAGCGUUGAGAGGAGCCGGCAGGUGCGCAGGGAAGAACCGAGCGCUCACUUGGUGACGAGGGUGGUGCUGUGGCUUAGCAGGUAAAGCCGCGGCCUGUGGUGCUGGCAUCCCAUACGGGCGCCUGUUCAGGUCCCGGCUGCUCUACUUCUGAUCCAGCUCUCUGCUGUGGCCUGGGAAAGCAGUGGAGGAUGGCCCAAGUCCUUGGGCCCCUGCACCCACGAGGGAGACCUGGGAGAAGCUCCUGGCUCCGGAUCAGCCCAGUGUUGUGGCCACUUGGGGACUGAACCAGCGAAUGAAAGGCCUUUCUCUCUCUCUGCCUUUCAAAUAAAUAAAUAUGUAUUUUAAAACA